UACGAAGGGGGCUAGCGUUGCUCGGAAUCACUGGGCGUAAAGCGCACGUAGGCGGCUUCUUAAGUCAGGGGUGAAAUCCUGGAGCUCAACUCCAGAACUGCCUUUGAUACUGAGGAGCUUGAGUCCGGGAGAGGUGAGUGGAACUGCGAGUGUAGAGGUGAAAUUCGUAGAUAUUCGCAAGAACACCAGUGGCGAAGGCGGCUCACUGGCCCGGUACUGACGCUGAGGUGCGAAAGCAUGGGGAGCAAACAGGG
rnacentral:rRNA from 1 species